UUGCAUGUCUCAUCAAAGUGUUCGUUGAACCAAAAAAGCUUGUCUUUCAUCAACUCGGCGGCAACACUAGGCUCUAGUUGAUUGAUGUCUAGCUUCAAAAGGUUCACAAUCUUAUUCCAUGAGCUUCUUAGAUAGAGUUCAAGGUUUUGUUGGAAUUUUUCUGUGUUUUUGUGGAGCCAGUCAUCUCCAAGAAUAGGUCCCAGUUCCUUCAGUUUUGCCUCUACUCCUAUAAAUCUCCGGUUGUUCAUGAUGAAAACAUAACCCAAAGUAGGGUUUUUGUAAUUUUUGGAGUUGGCUUCCAAACUGCUCUCUAAAAGCUCAAUCAUCCUGAACAUGUAAAGCAUUCCAUCUUCUAAACCUUGUCCGAGUUUACUUUCCCAACUUAGGUCUAGAUAUUCAAUGAAGUAACUCACUUUAAGCUUAUAAUCAUUUUUGGAGUUAGCUUCCAAAAUAUUAUCUACCAGCAUUCUCACUGUGUUGGCCCUGUACACAGGUGAUGAAGUCUUUUCUUCCUUUAAAUCAUGGCUAAGUUUACUCAUUUCCCUACUUUUGGAAACAAAAUAAAUAUAGUACAUCACUUCAAAGGUAAUAGGAUCAAUUCCUCCACCGGGAAUGAGUGAUACAUCAUCCAAAUCCUCAUAAAUGUACAAUGUCUGCCUUAUCAAGAGUACUUACAAUAUUUCCAUGAGUUGUACAUAAUUCAAACUCUUGUAUCAACUCCUGCAAAGUGUUGCGCAUGAAAUGGCUCCAAGUUGCCAAAACAAGGGCAGAGUUCAGCAGACUAAUUGCCCAUUCCGUGCAAAGUUCCCUGAAAUGAAACUCACAAGAGGAAAGGGAACCGCUAAAGACAAGAUUGAAGAAUCUCCUCUCAUUGGGAAAGAUAAUCCUUGCAGCUAUGUUCAUACCUUUUAUCAAGCUCUCAAUCUUCUCCAUCUUGUUAAUGUCCUCCAUGUUGAGCUCUUGAUCUGGCAACCCUAAUGACCAUAGACUCUCUCAGAAACUCCCUCCGCCAAUUAUUGUACACGUGUAAGCAUUCCUUCUCAAGUCCAUCUGAAAACAUCUUCUGUACACUUUCACGAAGGUUGCUGAUCAUUCCUGGGGACAAUGAAUCCAACAACAUGUUGUCGUCGCAAUACAGUUCUGACACUGAAAUCUGAUCCUCAACUAGAACAUUAGCUUUAAGGUAUUUGUCUACAUGCUUGGAAAUUGUGCUGAUAACGCUCCCAUUCUCCUUCUUAAGAGCCUCUAUACAACCCAUUAAGCAUGCCAUGGUACCAUCAAUGUUUCCUUGAGGAGCACCACCCUCUUGAGGUGAAACUACUUGAGAAGCACUACGUGUUGUUCCUCUUGAAGGCCAAAUCAUAUCAAUGACUGGGUGUGGUUGUGAACAAGCAUUACCUGUACGAGUGACAACUGUUUGGGGUGAAUCCACUAGAGUAACACUAGGACUGGUUCCUUGUGGUUGUGAAUGCAAACCCAUUUCAACCACUACAUGAUCCUGGUGUGGAAGUCCAUGAUACCCACUUCUUGGUUGAGGAUCCAAAGUGGAACGAAGAAGGAUGAGAGAAUACUGAAAGCUCCUCCAACAAUGACUAACCAUAGUUUUAUUUUCAUGAGUUGUACUGUCAGAAGUCCACUGAAAAAAUACAGGAGAUCAACCUCAAAUCCUAAGUGACUCAACCUUGACAAGCCUAGAGACAUGAUAGCAAAUGCAACACACGAAACCAGACUAUAUGCAUCUAGUUUCUCUUUCACAUCUUUAUCAAGGAAAAAGGAGUAUACAGAAGUUAGCAGCAAAGUAGAAAAUGCUGUGUGAGCUUCCAAACAGCGAUAGUUGAAGUAUUCCCAUGUCUUUGCAAACAAGGUGGAAAGGGAGAUUAAGAAACUGAAAACAAUAUAAAGAAAGAUCUUCCACCAGGUCCAAUUUCCAAGUAAAUGAUUGAAAGAGGAGCAGAAAGCAUAACACACAAGUCCAACAAUAGAUGAAACAAAACACACAAAUCUCCAUACCUUUGGCUGAUGCAGCCAACUCUGAAUUUUGAUGAGCAUGAGCAUUGUGUUGUUUCUUAAGCAAGGCUUGCAUUCAGGAACAAAGAUGUUAACCACCGUUGCUUUUAUUUCUGAAUGGGAAGUGCUUAAACCCUUCAAUUUUUUUAUAGGAAUUUGAAAGGAAGGAACUGGGAAAGUUACAUCAGUCUUCUAUUUGUUAACUUAAACCUGGGAUUCUUCUUUUUCUCUCCUUUAUUUAUUUCAGCUAUCUUCCAACUUAAUAAUUAAAUAUAAGUUAUGAUAUACCAGAUUAUAACUGGAAAGAAAAGAAAAACAACUUUAUAUUGAAAUGAAACCAUUUUAAAACAGUAUUGGUCAAACCAUGUGUUCUUGACAAAAGGAGCAAGAGUGUUAGCAUUAAACUCAAAGCCGUCAGCCGUCAGCCGUCAUUAGUUUUAUUUUAGCAUUUGAAUAGCCAAUAAUUAUUAUCUUUAAUUCUAGUUUUGAAUGUCAUUUAUACUAUGAUUUAAAUGUAAAUUAUAGUAUAGGUGUUAUGAGAGAGAAGGUAGAAUUUGAGAAGUCUAUUGUAAGACUAUUUAGAGAGAUUAUAUUCUUAUCUGAAAAGUAGCAGUGAAAUAAAAUAUAUAUUUUCUGUUCACAAAUAUCUUGCUCUGUUUUAUUUCCUCAACACCAACAAUUGGUAUCGGAGCUAUUUUCUUGAGGGAUCUGUGAGGUUAGUAGAGUGCACCAAUGGAAGGAGGAUCAAAUUUUUCAGCAAUGGCACCACCUGUCUUUGAUGGAGACAAUUAUCAAAUGUGGGUUGUUCGUAUGGAGACCUACCUAGAAGCGUUGGAUUUAUGGGAAGCUGUAGAAGAAGACUAUGAAAUUCAGUCCCUUCCAGAAAACCCUACGGUGGCACAAAUAAAAUCACAGAAGGAAAAAAAGAUGAAGAAAUCAAAGGAAAAAACAUGUCUAUUUGCAGCUGUAUCUCCUGUGGUAUUCACAAGGAUAAUGUCCUUGAAGUCAGCAAAAGAAAUUUGGGAUUACCUCAAGGCAGAAUAUGAAGGUGAUGAGAGGAUUCAUGGAAUGCAAACCCUGAAUCUAAUCAGAGAGUUUGAAUUACAAAGAAUGAAGGAGUCGGAAUCCGUAAAAGAGUACUCGGACAGACUUCUAAGCAUUGCCAACAAAAUGAGGUUGCUUGGAUUUGUGUUUAAAGAUUCAAGAAUUGAGGAAAAACUGCUUGUAACAGUUCUAGAGAGGUUUGAAGCCACCAUAACAACCUGGAGAACACAAAGACCUAUCAAAAAUUUCUCUUGCAGAGCUCUUAAAUGCUUUACAAGCACAAGAACAAAGGAGAGCCAUGAUACAAGAUGGAGCAGUAGAAGGAGCCUUACUAGUCAAACAUGAAGGUGGUUGGAGAAACAAAGGUAGAUAUUAUCCUCCUUGUAAGCAUUGCAACAAGUUAGGUCAUCCACCGUUUAAGUGUUGGAGAAGACCUGAUGCUAAGUGCAACAAGUGCAAUCAACUUGGUCAUGAAGCAAUCAUUUGUAGAAACCAAAGUGAGCAACAAGAUGUAGAUGCUCAAAUUGCAAAUGAGGAGGAGGAUGUACUUUUCGUUGCAACUGGUUUUUGCAGCAAUAUUUCAAGUGCAUCUUGGCUAAUUGAUAGUGGCUGCACCAAUCACAUGACACAUGACAAGGAACUCUUCAAGGAAUUGAGAACUACUGAUAUUAAAAGGGUGAGGAUUGGAAAUGGUGAACCCCUUGCAGUAAAAGGAUAAGGCACAAUAGCUAUCACAAGCUAUAAAGGUAUAAAAAUCAUUACAGAUGUUCUUUUUGUGCCAGAGAUUGAUCAAAAUAUUUUGAGUGUUGGUCAAUUGUUGGAAAAAGGCUAUAAAGUGAUGUUUGAAAAUAAACGUUGCUUAAUCAAAGAUAUUGAUGACAGAGAUUUGUUUAAAGUUGAGAUGAAGGGAAAAAGUUUUGCUCUCAAUCCAAUGAAGGAGGAGCACAUGGCCUUUAAGUCCAAAGAAAGUGUCACAGAAAUUUAUGUACCUGACUUGAAGAAUAAUAUUCUCAGUAUGGGAGAAUUAUUGGAGAGUGUUGAAGCAAAAUUUGAUAACCUGGAAAAAAGGUUUACAAAAUUGGAAGAAAAAUAUGUUGAUAUGGAGAAAGACAAUGAAAGUAGAGUCAAUCAAGUUGAAGAACUCCAUUUGUUGCUUUUGGCACAAAAAGAAAAGGAGAAGACCAUAAAUGGAAUGGUGUUGAGACAUCAUCUGAAAGGGAAAUAUGGGAUUGGUGCAAUGAAGAAAAUUGAAGUUGCUUCUAAUCAAGGACAGUAUGGUGACUACUGAAAAAAUAUAAUAUUGGAGGCAGUUGGGAUAAGGAAAAAAUAUAAAGGGUGAGCGAUAACAAUCUGAAUAAAAAUAUUAAAGGUCUGAGUUUAAGAGGGAAUUUGUUAGCAUUAAACUCAAAGCCGUCAGCCGUCAUUAGUUUUAUUUUAGCAUUUGAAUAGCCAAUAAUUAUUAUAUUUAAUUAUAGUUUUGAAUGUCAUUUAUAUUAUGAUUUAAAUGUAAAUUAUAGUAUAGGUGUUAUGAGAGAGAAGGUAGAAUUUUAGAAGUCUAUUGUAAGACUAUUUAGAGAGAUUGUAUUCUUAUUUGAAAAGUAGCAGUGAAAUAAAAUAUAUAUUUUCUGUUCAUGCUCUGUUUUAUUCCCUCAACAAUCUUCCAACUUAAUAAUUAAAUAUAAGUUAUGAUAUACCAGAUUAUAACUGAAAAGAAAAGAAAAACAACUUUAUACUGAAAUGAAACCAUUUUAAAACAGUAUUGAUCAAACCAUGUCUUCUUGACGAAAGGAGCAAGAGAAACCGAUAUCAAUUUGAAUGCUAGUUGAAAUAAUUACCCUCAUGGAAUUCAGAAAAUACAUCAAUCACAAAUUCAAUUAAUUCGAUAUAUCAAUACAACCCAACUUGUAGAAUUCAUUUUAUUUUUUCAUUUAUACGUGUCAAAUAAUUUAAGCUAUGCGAAUCUAGAACAUAUAGAUGAAAACCGAAGAAUAUAAUUUGAAUUUGGAUUUAAGAUAUGCAAAUCUAAAACAGAGAAGUAAUUUAAGCUUAAAUGUACAAUGGUAUUGUUGAUGGCAUGAUUUGGAGUGAGAAUUGAACUCAUGAAACAUAAUCUUUACUUAUAACAAUUACCAUAAUUACAGUAUUCCAAUUACGUGGUAUAGAACACAAGGGCAUAAGUAUCUUUUGGAACUACAAGAUAAUAACAAAAUUUGUAUUCUAAAUCAACUCAAACGCUUGGGUUUUGUGUACGAUUCCUAGGGUCUCCAUCCCUUAAUAGGAUAUGGUCAUCACAUGCAUCUCUUAAUACCAAAUAAUUAAUUUAAUUGUUGUACAGAAAUCUACUUAAAAUGCAUAGAUUAAUCCAAAAAUCUAUUCUAAUAUUGGUCUAAUGUCAGACGUCCAUGAUCCUAUAAAUAAUUUUACCUACCAAAUCAAACAUACGUAUAAAAUGAUAUUUAUUAUAUUCAAUUACCUCAAACCAAACAAUAACUUAGACAUCUGAAUACAUUUUACAGUACGUGCCUACACACCGACCUAAGAUCGAAGAAAAUACGAAAUCAGAAGUCAGUGAUUCAGUAAACUUAAGGAAGGACCGAGACCUUCCCGACAUUUUUUGUAAUUACAUUUGUUUUUUCCUUUGUGUCAGAAGAAACCGAUUCUUAUUCUCCCUUACAACAAACAGAUUGCGAACUCGAUCUUGGAUGUCAAACAUUUCAUACUUAAUAUAAUCAUAACUGUGCUUACCAACAAACUUCUGCAACUUUCCAAUGAAGUUUCCAUAUGCUGGCAACAACAUGUUUUCUAUGGAUUUUAUUAUAUUCUUUCUUAACUCUUCAUCAAACACAAACCAACUACACUCAACAUUGCAUAUCUCAUCAAAGUGUUUGUUGAAGGAAUUUAGCCUGUCUUUCAGUAACCCAACUGCAACACUACUCUCUGAUUCACUCAUAUCCAGCUUCAGAAACUCCACAAUCUUAUUCCACGAGCUUCUCAUAUAAAGUUCAAGGUUUUUCUGGAAUUUUGUUGUGUUUUUCCGGAGCCAACCAUGACCAAAAGUAAGAACCAAUCCAUACAAUUCUGCUUGUAGUUCUAUGACCCUCAGAUUGUUCAUGACGAAAACAUAUCCCAGAGAAGGGUUAUGGUAAUUUUUGGACU
rnacentral:lncRNA from 1 species